GGGAAGUAUAUCGCUUCUGAUAUGUUUAUGGUAGGUGGGUAUACGUGGGCGAUUUAUUUCUAUCCUGAUGGGAAGAGUACUGAAGAUAAUUCAACAUAUGUGUCGUUGUUCAUUGCUCUAGCGAGCGAAGGAACGGAUGUGAGGGCGCUUUUUGAGCUGACGCUGAUUGAUCAGAGUGGUAAGAGUAGGCAUAAAGUGCAUAGCCAUUUUGGGAGAGCGUUGGAGAGUGGACCGUACACUCUUAAAUACCGUGGA
rnacentral:misc_RNA from 1 species